UGUCAGACUCUCUUUGUGUUGGCGCAGACACAGUUGUGUGAGUUGGGCUCCCCUUCCCAUGCAGGGUGAUCUCUAGAAGCGUGUCUACUCUUCAUCGAGGACACAGGCCUCUGCAUGGAAUUUUAACUGUUAUGUUCACUUCAUUGUGACCUGAGCUGCUGGGCUGCACUGAAACGGAACAUUCACCUUGUCUCCUCAUGUGUGUGAAUGCUGUGGGACAGUUUGAGCAUACUGAAAAGCUAUCCCUGUACAAGGCCGGAUCCUUACUGAUGCUUUGCCCCUGGUCGGGGGACCACACUGGAGGGACACUGUAGUGGUGUGUACGUAUACUGUAGCUACAACACGGUGUGAUAUUUUGUAGUGGUAUUUAAAAAGAUCUAAAGUGUGUAGUGCUUGCUGUGUUGCAUGCUUCGUUGGUGUUGGGUUGCUGUCUCCUGUUUUCUGUCUCACCAGGGGCCUCCUGAGCAGGGGUUCUGCAUCGGCCGAUCCGAUCUUCCUAGGCUGAGGAAUCCACCAGUAUUUUGUGUAGCAGUAUUUUAAGACCUGUCCAUAACUUUUCGAUACCUGUGUGCUAAAUUAUAAUAAAUUUGAAAUACUUUUGUA